rnacentral:rRNA from 1 species
AAUCAACGCUGGCGGCGUGCCUCAGACAUGCAAGUCGAACGCGAAAGUCCCCUUCGGGGGACAAGUAGAGUGGCGCACGGGUGAGUAACACGUGGGUAAUUUACCUUCGGGUGGGGAAUAACAGUCGGAAACGACUGCUAAUACCGCAUAAUGCAGCGGCAUCAAAUGAUGACAGUUGUUAAAGCGGGGGAUCCUGAAAGGGACCUCGCGCCUGAAGAGGAGCCUGCGGCAGAUUAGCUAGUUGGUAAGGUAAUGGCUUACCAAGGCAACGAUCUGUAGCCGGCCUGAGAGGGCGGUCGGCCACACUGACACUGACAUACGGGUCAGACUCCUACGGGAGGCAGCAGUCGGGAAUUUUGGGCAAUGGGCGAAAGCCUGACCACGCAACGCCGCGUGAAGGAUGAAGGUGCUCUGCAUU